GCUAUUGUGGCUCAGUUGGUAGAGCAGCUGAUUCGUAAUCAGCAGGUCGCCGGUUCGAGUCCGGCCAAUAGCUCCA
rnacentral:tRNA from 1 species